GACUGGCUGUGCGUGAGGAGGGAGCCUGCCCAAUGGCAGCCCGGCGGCUGUGGCUAUAAAGGUCGCGGGAGGAGGCGGGCGCAUUCUCUCCGCGCGGCGGUAGCUGAGGUUACUUGAUGCUCUGGUCAACGCAAGUUGAGGAAUGAAAUGGACCAGAAGAGCUCACUUCCAUUGUUGGCAUCAAAACAGCUGUAAAGCUUAUUAAUUCAAAUGCAGAGGCUUUAAUUUGGAUUUACUUUAAAGCACGUGUGACCUGUUAUGCAUUUUGAAUGAAACAUGAAAGGUAUAUUGUAUUAGUGAAAUGUAAGCUAUUAAAAGAAGUGAAACAA